UCGAAAGCAGAGCAUUGCUACAACUACAUUUCCUAUAAUCGUCGGGCAAUCAGUUGAUAAUUGAGAGAACGACGGGGCAAACCUCCUCAGGAGCGACAUUCACAUUCAGUGGAUAUUACAGUCAUAUGGUAUAGGCUGUUCUGAAUCACAGGUAAUUAUGGAGAUUUGGCGCAAAAAUUUGAAUGGCAUGAUCGCGAUGUCACACAAUUAGGAGAGGAAAUUAAAUGAGGCCUGAACAACAUACAUGGAGGCCGCAACUAGAGGAAUUCAUCGCCCUACACAUGAGGAUGGGAUGUGCUUGGAGACAGCAUGCAUAUUUCAAACUUCGAUCGAUGAAGGUGUUGAAGGAGGAAUGUGAGAGGCAGAAGAAGUUGCGGCUGGCAUGAGUGGCAUAGGCACGAGAACAAAUGGCAGUUUCCAAAUUUCGACAGUUAUGAGAGUACCAUUGGCGACAUUUUUCACCCAAUGACUGAAAUUGCUGGAUCAGUGAAGGCACAAUCUUUUCCAAAAUACAUCAGACCCCGCGAAUUUUCUCCCCAUUUCUCCUCCACCGAAAAAAACCCCGAAACGUUGUUCACACCUUUAGAAAGGGAAGCGAUGUAACUAAACCAACAAGUUCAGCCCUCCUCACACAAUGCACCUCGACCCUCAUAUAAAACACGCGGUGAUGCUGGGAGGGAGCGUUAUAGUGUUGUUGGAGGGUCGUUAAAUUACCGCCCAUACCGUGUUCCCUUCGCCUCGCUGUGCUCCUCUCGGACACGAGUUUAUUCCAGUAACACAGUUUUCGGGGGUUCCAGUUUAGCUCCAU